CUUAUUCCUGCUGCUCCUACUAUCAGUAGUCCGAACCCCAUCAGUAAAAAUGCUGUCUGUCCUUGUGACGGUCCAGUGCAGUUUCUUUCCUCGUCUCCGCAUGGGGGAGGAUGAAGCUUCUUGAUUACUGCUGUUAGGUCUAUAACAAAUAAUCCCUGUGGAUAAAAAAAGUUUAAAAAGGCAAACAUCAGCAUAUAAGCAAAAUACAAGUAAAGGAAGAAAAAAUUACCAGAAACGAGGCAAUGGUGGCGAAUCCCAGGGUGGUGUAGCGGCCAAAGUAGGUAUCAGAAAGGAAAGCCCCUAACAAAGUUGCAAAGUUGGUGGUGCCAUUAAAGAUGGUGAUCAAAG